GGGCCCAUAGUUUAAUGGAUAGAAUUAAAGAUUCCGGUUCUUUAGGUUGAGGUUCGAUUCCUCAUGGGCCUACAA
rnacentral:tRNA from 4 species